rnacentral:rRNA from 1 species
UACGUAGGGUGCAAGCGUUGUCCGGAAUUAUUGGGCGUAAAGAGCUCGUAGGCGGUUUGUUGCGUCGGCUGUGAAAUCCCGAGGCUCAACCUCGGGUCUGCAGUCGAUACGAGCAAACUAGAGUGUUGCAGGGGAGACUGGAAUUCCUGGUGUAGCGGUGAAAUGCGCAGAUAUCAGGAGGAACACCGGUGGCGAAGGCGGUUCUCUGGGCCUUACCUGACGCUGGAGGAGCGAAAGCGUGGGGAGCAAACAGG